UCAGAAUGAGAAAAAAAGAGUAACAAUUCAACAGGAUCUUGAGCCUUAUAUGGCAUACUGCAUCAAUUCAGAGAUCACGGAGACAACAGGCCAUACAACCCCUUUACAUUUUCUUAAGUGUCAGUGAUGAUCAGCGAAACAGGAAAGAACGUCACCCAUACACUGGAAUUUGAGAGAUGCAUUAAACAUGCUCAGUGUAUCCUCUGAUAUCUCACAUAAGCCAAAUACCUAGGAAAGAGAUGAGUACAGUUCAACAUCCAAUCAGCAGAAGGCUCCAUAAUCCCUCCAAUUCAGGAAAAGAAAGUCACAUUCUGAGACUCCCCACAAAACAGGAUAGGCAGAAAGCCAAAAUCAGAGAGACAGUGUACAUAAGAACGGCCAUACUGGGUCAGAGCAAAGAUCCAUCUAGCCCAGUAUCCUGUCCUCCAACAGUGGCCAACGCCAGGUGCCCCAGAGGGAAUGAACAGAACAGACUUGACCUUCACAACAUCCUCUGGCAAGGAGCUCCACAUGAUGACUGUGCAUUGUGUGAGCUGUGCGACUGUGCAUCCCAGUGGAGCCUGGGAGCUGACUGCAGAGGGAAGGCUUGAUCUGGGACUAGGAAGCUGAGAGCCAGGCAGACUCAUCAUAUUGCUGACAGAAGGCCAGCAAGAAACAAUACAGGACAGCAUGCUGCAGGCAGAACAAUGGUGUGGAGGAGUUGAGAUUCUUACUUCUACACAUCU